rnacentral:ncRNA from 12 species
ACAGUACAAACUGAGCAGGCGAUGAACCGGAAGGUUCAUGGGGCUGGGCCGCAACCGCGGCAGCAGAUGGAAAGCACAUCUGUGGGACAGUA